rnacentral:rRNA from 1 species
GGCUAGAAUGUGAGGGAAUGUUGGGUAACGCCAACAGUCUGGGAAACCAGACCCAAAACAAGGUGCUGCAUGGCUGUCGUCAGCUCGUGUCGUGAGAUGUUGGGUUAAGUCCCGCAACGAGCGCAACCCUUAUCAACAGUUGCCAUCAUUAAGUUGGGAACUCUGUUGAGACUGCCGUUGAUAAAACGGAGGAAGGUGGGGAUGAUGUCAAGUCAUCAUGGCCUUUAUGCUUAGGGCUACACACGUGCUACAAUGGAUGGUACAAAACGUCGCAAUCUCGUAAGAGGGAGCUAAUCGCGAAAACCAUUCUCAGUUCGGAUUGAAGUCUGCAACUCGACUUCAUGAAGUUGGAAUCGCUAGUAAUCGCAGAUCAGAACGCUGCGG